GGCCAGUUAGCUCAGUCAGUUAGAGUGUGAUGCUGAUAACACCAAGGGCCUGGGUUUGAUCCCCGUUUGGUCC
rnacentral:tRNA from 1 species